AGCAAAGCCGCGAGGUAGAGCAAAUCUCAAAAAAACAAUCUCAGUUCAGACUGCAGGCUGCAACUCGCCUGCACGAAGUCGGAAUUGCUAGUAAUCGUAGGUCAGCAUACUACGGUGAAUACGUUCCCGGGCCUUGUACACACCGCCCGUCACACCAUGGGAGUCGGUAACACCCGAAGCCAGUAGCCUAACCGCAAGGAGGGCGCUGUCGAAGGUGGGAUUGAUGACUGGGGUGAAGUCGUAACAAGGUACC
rnacentral:rRNA from 1 species